AGUGAACGCUGGCGGUAGGCCUAACACAUGCAAGUCGAACGGCAGCACAGUAAGAGCUUGCUCUUACGGGUGGCGAGUGGCGGACGGGUGAGGAAUACAUCGGAAUCUACUUUUUCGUGGGGGAUAACGUAGGGAAACUUACGCUAAUACCGCAUACGACCUACGGGUGAAAGCAGGGGAUCUUCGGACCUUGCGCGAUUGAAUGAUCCGAUGUCGGAUUAGCUAGUUGGCGGGGUAAAGGCCCACCAAGGCGACGAUCCGUAGCUGGUCUGAGAGGAUGAUCAGCCACACUGGAACUGAGACACGGUCCAGACUCCUACGGGAGGCAGCAGUGGGGAAUAUUGGACAAUGGGCGCAAGCCUGGUCCAGCCAUACCGCGUGGGUGAAGAAGGCCUUCGGGUUGUAAAGCCCUUUUGUUGGGAAAGAAAAGCAGCAGGUUAAUACCCCGCUGUUCUGACGGUACCCAAAGAAUAAGCACCGGCUAACUUCGUG
rnacentral:rRNA from 1 species